GAAAUGCGAUACGUAAUGCGAAUUGCAGAUCUCAGCGAGCCAUCGAAUCUUUGAACGCACAUUGCGCCCGCCAGUACUCUGGCGGUGCAUGCCUGUCCGAGCGUCAUUUCCACCCGUCGAGCCCCGCUCGUGCUGGGGCCCUGCGGCCGCCGCAGGCCCCGAAAGACAGUGGCGGGACCGCCGCCGCGCCGGGCGUAGUAGCGCGAGCCCCUCGCCCCGGGGCGGCGGCGGCCCCCUGCCUUGACGAGACCGUACCAAGGAUGACCUCGGAUCAGGUAGGAAUACCCGCUGAACUUAA
rnacentral:misc_RNA from 1 species